UACGUAGGCAGCAAACGUUGUUCGGAAUUACUGGGCGUAAAGAGUGUGUAGGCGGUUUUGUUAGUUUGGUGUGAAAUCUCCCGGCUUAACUGGGAGGGUGCGCCGAAUACUGCAAAGCUUGAGUACUGGAGAGGAUAGCGGAAUUCCUGGUGUAGCGGUGAAAUGCGUAGAUAUCUGGAGGAACACCGGUGGCGAAGGCGGCAUCCUGGACCGGCAUUG
rnacentral:rRNA from 1 species